rnacentral:tRNA from 1 species
AAAAAUUUAGUUUAAAAAAAACAUUAGUUUGUCAAGCUAAAAUUAUUAUAUUAAUAAUUUUUA